GGCCUGGUGGUGUAUGGUGCACGCCCGCAUCUCUUGGUGUAGAGAGAGACUACGUAAUCAAUAUUGCGCGGGAGGGCCCUGUUCGACUCGGGGGCAGGCCG